GAUCCUGGCUCAGGAUGAACGCUAGCGACAGGCUUAACACAUGCAAGUCGAGGGGCAGCAUGAGGUAGCAAUACCUUGAUGGCGACCGGCGCACGGGUGAGUAACACGUAUCCAACCUGCCGAUGACUCGGGGAUAGCCUUUCGAAAGAAAGAUUAAUACCCGAUGGCAUAGUUCUUCCGCAUGGUAGAACUAUUAAAGAAUUUCGGUCAUCGAUGGGGAUGCGUUCCAUUAGGUUGUUGG
rnacentral:rRNA from 1 species